UGAUGAAGGCCUUAGGGUUCGUAAAGGCUCUUUCGGUCGGGACGAUGAUGACGGUACCCGCAGAAGAAGCCCCGGCUAACUUCGUGC
rnacentral:rRNA from 1 species